GACGAACGCUGGCGGCGUGCUUAACACAUGCAGGUCGAACGGAAAGGCCCUGCUUUUGUGGGGUGCUCGAGUGGCGAACGGGUGAGUAACACGUGAGUAACCUGCCCUUGACUUUGGGAUAACUUCAGGAAACUGGGGCUAAUACCGGAUAGGAGCUCCUGCUGCAUGGUGGGGGUUGGAAAGUUUCGGCGGUUGGGGAUGGACUCGCGGCUUAUCAGCUUGUUGGUGGGGUAGUGGCUUACCAAGGCUUUGACGGGUAGCCGGCCUGAGAGGGUGACCGGCCACAUUGGGACUGAGAUACGGCCCAGACUCCUACGGGAGGCAGCAGUGGGGAAUAUUGCACAAUGGGCGGAAGCCUGAUGCAGCAACGCCGCGUGGGGGAUGACGGCCUUCGGGUUGUAAACCGCUUUCGCCUGUGACGAAGCGUGAGUGACGGUAAUGGGUAAAGAAGCACCGGCUAACUACGUG
rnacentral:rRNA from 1 species